UACCUUAAAACUAGCUUAAAUAUCUAAAAUCAAUUGAAAAAUUUAAAUAACCCCUUAAACCAUAAAAUGAAAUAAUAAAACAUUCUCACCCCAUAGUAAAGGAGAUUAAAAAGGAUUAUUAAAGCUAUAAAAUUAGUACCGUAAGGGAAAGUUGAAAAAGAAAUUAAAAAAUUCAUUUAAGUUAAUAUAAGCAAAGAUUAAAUCUUGUACCUUUUGCAUCAUGAGUUAACAAGACACUUCAAGCAAAAAGAUUUUUAGUUUGAAACCCCGAAAUUAAACGAGCUACUCCGAGACAGUUAGUAAUUUGAACAAACCCAUACCUGUGGCAAAAGGUUGGGGUGAGCUCCGAGUAGAGGUGAUAAACCAAACGAGUUUAGUUAUAGCUGGUUGCCUGAAAAAUGAAUAGUAGUUCAGCCUGUUUUAAAUCUUAGAUUACAUAAAAUUAUAUUUAAAAAUUUAAUAAAAAAUACAGAGUUAAUCAAAAGAGGUACAGCUCUUUUGAUCAAGGAUACAACCUUUUAAAAUGGUUACAAAUCAUGUAAACAUAUAUAAAUGUUUUUGUGGGCCCGAAAGCAGCCAUCAAACAGAAAGCGUUAAAGCUCAAACACAAAAAUUUUAAAUACCGAUAAAUAAAUUAUAAACCUUUAACUAAAAUCAGGCUAUUCCACAACACUGGAAAUAAUAAUGUUAAUAUGAGUAAUAAGAGAAAUAUGAUUCUCUCCUAGCAAAAGUGUGCAUCGGAUCGAACUAACACCGAAUAUUAAUGACCCGUAAUAAAAGAAGGCAGUGUUAAAAAAAUUAAAAACAAGAAAAACUAACACCUAAACACCAUCAACCCAACACAGGAUUGCUAACCAGGAAAGACUAAAAGGUUAAGAAGGAACUCGGCAAAUCAAAUACAGCCCCGCCUGUUUACCAAAAACAUCGCCUCUUGCUAAACAAGAAUAAGAGGUCCCGCCUGCCCUGUGACACAAUGUUUAACGGCCGCGGUAUUUUGACCGUGCAAAGGUAGCGCAAUCACUUGUCUUUUAAAUAAAGACCUGUAUGAAUGGCAUAACGAGGGCUCAACUGUCUCCUUACCCCUGUCAAUGAAAUUGAUCUCCCCGUGCAGAAGCGGGGAUUACCCCAUAAGACGAGAAGACCCUGUGGAGCUUUAAGCAAAAAUGAUUUAUUAGAAGUAUAUUGUAAAAACCUAUAAAAUUAAAUAAAAAUCACUAUAUGCUUUCAGUUGGGGCGACCGUGGAGAACUAUAAAACCUCCAUGAGGAUUGAGGUAAUAAACCUUAAAACCAAGAAAAGCAAUUCUAAAUAUUAAAAUAUUUAACCUAAAGAUCCGGUAGUACCGAUCAACGAACCUAGUUACCCCAGGGAUAACAGCGCAAUCCUUUUUAAGAGCCCAUAUCGACAAAAGGGUUUACGACCUCGAUGUUGGAUCAGGAUAUCCUAAUGGUGCAGCAGCUAUUAAGGGUUUGUUUGUUCAACAAUUAAAAUCCUACGUGAUCUGAGUUCAGACCGGAGUAAUCCAGGUCAGUUUCUAUCUAUGUAUUCUCCUUUUUUAGUACGAAAGGAUCAAAAAGGAGGGGCCUAUGUUUUAAAACAAGCCCUAUUUUUAAACCUUGAAAAAAUAUAAAAGGUUAAAAAAAUAUAAAAAACAGCUAAAUAUAAUAACAA
rnacentral:rRNA from 1 species